AUUGAACGCUGGCGGCAGGCCUAACACAUGAAAGUCGAACGAGUGGCGGACGGGUGAGUAAUGUCUGGGAAACUGCCCGAUGGAGGGGGAUAACUACUGGAAACGGUAGCUAAAAACGCCUACCAUCGGCUGUGCCCAGAUGGGAUUAGCCAGUGGGUGGGGAAACGGCUCACCUAGGCGGGGCACCCUAGCUGGUCUGAGAGGAUGACCAGCCAAACUGGAACUGAGCCACGGUCCAGACUCCUACGGGAGGCAGCAGUGGGGAAUAUUGCACAAGGGGCGCAAGCCUGAUGCAGCCAGGCCGCGUGUAUGAAGAAGGCCUUCGGGUGGGAAAGUACUUUCAGCGAGGAGGCGUUACUCGCAGAAGAAGCACCGGCUAACUCCGUGCCAGCAGCCGCGGUAAUAC
rnacentral:rRNA from 1 species